rnacentral:tRNA from 1 species
GAAGAUAUAGCUCAGUGGUAGAGCACGUGCUUAGCAUGCACAAGGUGCUGGGUUCAAUCCCCAAGACCUCCA